rnacentral:lncRNA from 1 species
AACGAGUUUCUUUAGAGUUUUCCUUUUUCCCCCUAUAGAAGUUAAAUUAUUUACUCCUUUUUUUUUAAUAAAAUGGGGGCUAAAGAGACCUGCCUGCUAAGCCACCAGAUUUAAGAUUUUUUUUUUGUGCGGAUGUGAAUGUUUCAUACAAAUCGGAUAAUCGAGUAUCAAGUAUGAAUAUAUUUAAAAAACUUAAAAGAUAAUAAAUUCUAG